rnacentral:lncRNA from 1 species
GGGAAUGAGAGGAAGCAGCGGGUGGUAUGAAAAAUAAAUUAGGAUGUACAUGGACUGCCAGUUACAUAGGUAGGAAUGCAUCAGGAAACAACUUGCAGUGUCUAGCAUUGACUGCGCGUUGCACGUAGCAUUGUUGCUAUCCGGUGGUUUACAUGAACACUGCUGUGUAGACUGUUUUGGGGCUAAAGUAAGAAACUGUAGUACAGCGAAGCCCAAAGCAACAACGAAGAUGAAAUCCAAAAUCAGUUGAUGCCUUCACCUAUAUAAAAGAAAAGCCAACUUAAAAAGAAAAAGUUGGAUGGCUCACCAGAAAUAUGCUGUCUAUACUCUUGUGAUAUAUAUUUUCG